rnacentral:misc_RNA from 1 species
CAGCACGCGAAAAGCGGCUUCGCCGGAGAUGGUCGAUGAGCUUGUAUCGCGCGAUCGCAUGCACCCAAGGCGUGAGCAGGGUCUCGACGUCAUACGUAUGACGCUUGAGGUGGAUCGCGAGCANUUUCCUGCACCAGGUCUUCCGCCUCUUCGGCGCCGCCCCCGCUGCGGGCAAGAUGCCGCUUGUAGUAGCCGCGCAGGUGUCGGCUCAGCCUGUCGAGCAAGGCACCGUGCGCGCCC